CUGUUGGAAAAAUCAGAUAGUACUUCUACAAUUGGAACGAGACAGAGAAGAUCUGCGUGGACCCUGCGCAAGGCUGAGAUGCAAACCUAAGACGGUAUUGCU